AGCAAUUGCAUUCGACCUCGCCCUAGAGCUUAUUACUAAAUUGAGCUCCUUUACUCUCUCUCAAAUUGGACUGUGGUGGAAUUUCAAAGAUGACCUCGACGACCUCAAAAGCACCGUCUCUACAAUCAAAGCUGUGAUUCUUGACGCAGAAGAGCGAUCCGCGACCAGCCAACUGGUCAAAGAUUGGCUUGAAAAGCUGAAAGAUGUACUUUACGAUGCUGACGACUUGCUCGAUGAUUUCUCUACCGAAGCUUUGCCGACAGAUCUAUUGGGUGGGAACAGGCUGGCGAAAAAGGUACGCCUUCUCUUCUCGAGCUCGGGUUGGAAAAUUAAGACCAUUAGGGACAGGUUGAUUUCAAUUGGAAGUGAAGCCAAGGUGUUCAACUUGGUAGAGCGCGACCGUCCCAUGGAAACCUCUUUCAUGACUAAAAAGAGGCAGCUAACGCACUCUUUUAAAGAUAAAAUAAUAGGGAGGGGCGAUGAUAAAGCAGCUCUUCUAAAACUCGUGUUAGAGUUUGAAAGUGAAGAGAAUGUUUACAUCAUUCCAAUUGUGGGGUUUGGAGGGUUAGGGAAGACUGCUUUGGCUCAGUUUGUCUAUAAUGAUGAAACGGUCGAAAAUCAUUUUGAGUUGAUGAUGUGGGUGUGUGUUUCAGAUGUUUUUGAUGUCAAAAUAAUUGUAGAAAACAUGAUCAAAUCUGCAACUGGCAAAGCACCAGAUCAAAAUCUCCAAAUGGACCAAUUGCAAAAACAACUUCGGGAAAAAAUUGGUGGGAAAAAAUAUUUGCUUGUUUUGGAUGACAUUUGGAAUGAUGAGUGGAAAAAAUGGGUUAGUUUAAAAGAGUUAUUGGUAGGUGGGGCAAAAGGAAGUAGGAUAAUAGUAACUACUCGUUCUUCUAAGGUAGCCAAGGUCACUAGUAAAUGUCAGCCUUAUGUUCUGAAAGGCUUGUCUGAUAAUGAUGCUUGGUCUUUGUUCAAAGAGAUAGCAUUUGAACAAAGAUCGGCAGACUCAACAGAUUCAGGCUUUGUGGAAAUAGGAAAGCUGAUUUUGAAAAGGUGUUGUGGAGUUCCCUUAGUCAUAAGGACGAUAGCUGGUACGUUAUCUUCCAAAGAAACUAAAAGUGAGUGGCUUUCUUUUAAAGAUAACGAACUUGCUAGAAUAUCUCAGAACGAAGGUGAGAUAUUACCUACACUUAAGUUGAGUUAUGAUCAUCUCUCAUCCCAUUUGAAGCAUUGUUUUGCUUAUUGUCGACUAUAUCCAAAAAAUCAUGAAAUUGAUGUACGAACACUUGUUCAAUUUUGGAUUGCACAAGGUUUUGUAAAGCAAUUGAAUCCAAGUCAAUCUCUUGAGGAGAUCGGAUUUGGAUAUUUUAAAGAUUUAGUUGAAAGAAGUUUCUUUCAAGAGGUAGUAGAAGGAGACUUGAUGGACGAAAUGAGAUGUAAAAUGCAUGAUUUAAUGCAUGAUCUAGCUAAAUCAGUAGCAGGGAUGGAGAGUAGUAUUAUAGAUUUAAAUACAUUUGCAAGUAAUGGUGGUGAAAAAUGUCGCCACAUAUCAAUUAAUCCUGCAUUAAUUCCUUUGUUUAAGGGAAAAAAGUUGCGAACCUUGUUACGGUAUCCAAACAAAUUUUCUCCAAAUUUGAGCAAAGAAACUUGGGAUUUGAUAAUUGCAAAUUGUAGAUGCUUGCGUGUAUUGGAUUUGCAUUCUUUAGGUAGUCAGAUGAUUUCACCCUCCAUUGACAAGUUGAAACAUUUGAGGUACCUUGAUCUUUCUUAUAAUCUCCGUCUUAAGUCUCUCCCAAAGAGUAUUUGCGAGAUUCAGAAUUUGCUAGCGCUGAAACUUGAUGGGUGUAUUCGGCUUGAAGAAUUGCCAAAGGAGAUUGGAAAAUUGGUGAAUCUUACCCAUAUUGGGUGUAAAGAUUGUUUUCGUUUAACUCAUAUGCCACGUGGAAUAGAGAAGCUGACUUCACUUGAGACGUUAAGCAUGUUUGUAGUGGAUAAAGAUGGUGGCGGUGCAGAUCUAAGUGAAUUGAGACUGCUUAACAACCUAAGGGGAGAGUUAAGAAUAAGAAAUUUGGGAUUCGUAAAAAAUGCAAAAGAGGAGUUUAAGGCUGCUAAUUUGAAAGAGAAGCAACAUUUGAGAUCGUUGGUUUUAGAAUGGAAUGCUGAUAUUGAUGAUGAAGAUGAUGAAGAUGAUGAUGAGAAGUCACUUGAAGACCUCCAACCCCAUCCUAAUCUCAAGGAGCUCUGUAUUCGAGGAUGGAGGGGUGAUGCCAAGUUUCCAAGUUGGCUUUCGUUGCUCACAAAUCUCGUUUAUAUGAGAAUAUAUCGGGGUAAUUUCAAACAAGUCCCGUCCUUUGUGCAAUUUCCCUGUCUUAAAGGGCUGGAGAUAUAUGAUUGUACUAAGCUGGAGUACAUGGAUGAUAAUAGCCCAAAAGGAAGUCAAGGAGAACCACAAUGAUUCUUCCCAUCACUUAAGCAUCUUUUGCUCUUCAACUGUCCGAAUAUGAAGAGUUGGUGGAGGACGACAAAACCAAUCGAUGAUGACUCCAACGAGGACGACACAACAGUUAUGGGAACAUCAACCAUGGCAUUUCCUUGUCUUUCCUCUUUAGAAAUUGAAAAUUGCCCGUUGACUUUUAUGCCACUGUAUCCAUCACUCAAUGAAGAUCUAAUGUUGUCGAAUACCAGUUCAAGGCCGUUAAAGCAGACUAUCAAGAUGAACAUCAAUGCUAAUGCCCCAUCAACUUCAACCUCUUCUCUUCCACUCUCCAAAUUGAAAUCUUUCAAUGUACACAACAUUGAGGGGUUGGACACUCGCACGCUAGAUGAGUGCCUGCAACAUCUCGCCAGCCUCAAAAGAUUAACAAUAAGAGAUUGCAAGGAGGUUGAUUUAGAGGGCAUGCAAUGGGAACCCCUUAAGAAUCUCUCUCAUUUGAAGAUUGAUGAUAUUCUAAAGCUGGUGUCUCUCCCCAUUUGGCUUCAACAUCUUGUUCAAUUGAAAAUAUUAAAAAUUCAUAACUGCAAUGGAUUGAGGUCACUGCUUCUGGUGUUCCAACAUCUCACUUUCCUUGAAGAGUUUGAAGUAAAGGACUGCAAGGAGCUGGAGUUAUCUGGAGCUGGCAUCCAAAUAUUCCAAGAUCAUACAAGCCUGCGCUCUCUAUGGCUGCAAAAUAUUCCAAAGUGUCGGCAUCUUCCGGAGUGGCUUCAACAUCUAACAAAUCUGCAACGGCUUUAUCUCGUUAAUUUGCCCAAUUUAACAUCUCUUCCGGACGAGAUGCGUUGCCUAACCAGUUUGGAGUAUUUACAAAUACGAGAAAUUCCUCAGUUGGAGGAAAGAUGUCGGAAGGACAUUGGUGCUGAUUGGCGAAAAAUUGCUCACAUCCCCAACAUUCGGUUGAUUCAGGUUGGUCCGUCUUUGUUAUUUAUUUAUUUUGAUGACCUUAUCGUUUUUUGAAGAAAAAUAAGAGUGGUAUAUUGAAUCUCCAAGUCAGGGGUCUGAUGCCAUUUUUCAUUGAAGUUGGAUACUGUUAAUUUCCUUGUUAAAAUCCCUUUGUUUUAAGCCUACUUUUUACUUAUCAUCUUUCAUAAUAUUUUUGCUGAUUUGUGCAGAAAGGCAUUGGAGGAAGGCAUUAGUGAACUUCAAUCAUUUUAUAUGCAUAAAAAGAGGUGCUAAUUUAUCUAUUUGCUUUUUACUUUUAAAUCAUAAUAAUAACUUGACAAUUGCUUCUAAUAAUUUAAUUCUAAAAAACCAUUGAUGUGGAGAGAGAGGCCUAUGAAGCCUUGAAAAUGGUUGUACUAUAUGCUCUGCUUUCUUCAUUUAAGCACUUACCUAUCAUAUCUUUAUAUAUAUUUAUGUUUUCUCUUAAUAUAUGCCAACUGAUUACUAUAUUAGAUGGUACCUGUGAUACUGACAGGCUUUUGGAGGUAUUCAAAUUCAUAAUAUUCAUUCAUGCAGGGCACUCUUUUAGCUGUUUGGAAUUCCAGCCAAAUUUGUUAUUGAAGGUCCAAACAGGAAAAAAAAGGAAGAUGCUUCAGAAUAUUUGGUGGUGAGGUUGAAGUUGAUGAAAUGUUUCAUUAUUUAUAUAUCAACAGCAAUAUACUGAACACACAUAUGUGCAAAUAUAAGGCUGAUAAUAAUGGGAUUUGUAACAUAUUCUAUGUUGGCAUUUGUAAUUUUCAGGUUCAUUGAUGCUUUUGGAAGAGUCGUUGUUCAAGCAUGGCAAUUGCCAGACAUAUUACAUUUGAAAAUUUAUGAUUCUACUUUACAUGGAGCUUUUUAAGAGCUUGAUUCAUAGUAGGAAAAUUAUCUGAGUAUUGAAUGUGAAUUUUCACUAGCAUAGCUAAAAUGAGUUGGAGAGAAUUUACUUCAUUGUACAAAAGUGAGAUUGCAUCAAGUGUUUGAGGGUUUAAGCUUAAAUAAUUUCAUUGUACUAUGAAGUUCAUAGUGGAUUCAUCUUUAGGCAAAGCCUCGCAGACGUAGGACAAGUUCCGAACUGCGUAAACAUCUUAAUUGUGUUCUUUAUUUUUCUUGUUGCAUAAUAUGUACCAACUCAAGAAAAAACACAUUUUUAAUGUUCCAAACAGUACUCAAAUGCAGGGAUGCACAAUUGAUUAUGAGACAAUAAUUGUUUUCGACGGUAUUCCAAGGAUAUGUUCAAUUAUAAUGCUUGGAUUAGGACCCUUCCAAAAGAUGUCGAUUUCCUGCCUGUAUAUACAUAUGACUUGUGUGUUGAUGCUUAUGUUGGCAUACAUUAAAUUACAAGUUGAAUAACACCUUGUUAUUUGUUCUUGUCGUUUAAACAAAACAUAAGGCUUUUCCUUUGGAAUCUCGAUGCGAUGAGGUACUGCAAUCCUCGAAAGGAAGGAAGGACAUGGGCAAUGGCAGGGGUGUUUCUUGGUGAGCUAAGGAAAUCAAUGUCUCCUAUGAGGAUUCUAGCCCAUCAAUUCCCUCUAUAUAGCAACAAUGAACCUGCAAACUAUAAAUAUCAAUAUACAGUAUGAUAAAAUUGAUGUCGUAUAGACCGAGCAGUGUCCAAAUGUAGAAGAAACACAUACCCUUACUAAAAACAUAACUCCAUAUUUUGUGCACAAAUGGUGGCCAAACACAAAUCCGUUGUCUAUGCUUUUUGAUUCCAAGUUUAAGAAAGGGCCAAACAUUGGGCAUCCUCAUCCUCAUCUGUAAUAGUAACAAAUUCACAUUCCCAUUAGUGUUUACACCUCAAAACUCAAUUCCAACUUGAUCAAAUUUACUUUCAAAACAUAACUUGAUUCAAGAUAAAAAUAAACUUGGACUUCUUUACCUAGCAAAAGAUGAACAUGAUUCUCAAAAAUCCAAGGUUUUCGAAGACGGACCAAUAGUAAAACUGAUCAGCGUGUAAAAGCCAUAACUACCGUGCUUGGUUUGGUGGAUAGUUUACAAGUUAUUGAAGGCCUUAGAAUCCAAACAUUACCAUAGUUUUCAUACCCUUUGAAAUCAUAAGCAUACCAUCUUCAUUCAAAUCACUGACAUGCCCAUUCUGAUUUGAAGUACAUCCAAGAAACCAAAAUAAAAAAUGAAAUAAUAGAAUUUCCCACUUAAUCUAAGAUUCAUCAAACUCUUGAUUUGGAAGAGAAUGAAUCUUCCAAUGAACUUGUGAGAUUUUCUAACAUUUUGAUUUAGUUUAGACAAUUCAAGUGUAUAAUUAAUCAAAAUUCUCCACUUCCUCCAGUACAACAAAAAUCCCUGCAUAAAGCAUCCAUCAAUUUUAUACCCUUCUAAAACUCAAAGAUUAAACUUCACACAAAUAAACUAAUACCAAAGAAGAAAAGAUAGUCUACAAAAGCAGAAAAGGAAAACCUUACCAAACUGGACUUAGGGCCCGUUCUCCUUUGCGAUAGAAAAAGACUUUUUCAAUAAAAAGUCAUUUUCUCUUAAAAGGAACGAAGAACGGCCUCCAUUUCGGAAAAAAAAUCGCCAUCGGAGAAGUCCUUUUCUCCAGAUGAAGAAGUUAAAAUUUUCUCCUUUUCUUCAGCCAAAAGUGCUUUUGGCUGAUAAUUUCCAUUUUUCUCCCCCAAAAACUGUUCUUCCCUCUGGUUCUUUGCCUGAAAUAUCAAGUUCUUUGCCUUUGUUUCUUUUCCUCAGGUUCAUUGAUGCUUUUGGACGGGUCGUUGAUCAAGCAUGACAAUUGCCGGACAUAUUGCAUUUGAAAAUUUAUUAUUCCACUUUACAUGGAGCUUAUUAAGAGCUUGAUUCAUGGUAGGAAAACUAUCUGAGUGUUGAAUGUGAAUUUUCACUUGCAUAGCUAAAAUGAGUUGGGAGAGAAUUUACUUAAUUGUACAAAAGUGAGAUUGCAUCAAGUGUUUGAGGGGUUAAGCUUAAAUCAUUUCUUUGUACUAUGAAGUUCAUAGUGGAUUCAUCUUUGGGAAAAGCUCCGCAGACGUAGGACAAAUUCCGAACUGCGUAAACAUCUUAAUUGUACUCUUUAUUUUCUUAUUGCAUAAUACGUUCCAACUUAGGAAAAAACACAUUUAUGUUUUUUUAGUGUUUCAAACAAUAUUCAAAUGAAGGGAUGCACAAUUGAUUAUGAGAAAACAAUUUUUUUAGACAGUAUUCCAAGGCAAUGUUCAAUUAUAAUGCUUGGAUUAGGACCCUUCCAAAAGAUGUCGAUUUCCUGGCUGUAUAUACAUAUGACUUGUGUGUUGAUGCUUAUGUUGGCACACAUUAAAUUAUAAGUUGAAUAACACAUUUGUAAUUUGUUCUUGUCGUUUAAACAAAACAUAAGGCUUUUCCUUUGGAAUCUCGAUGCGACGAGGUACUGCAAUCCUCGAAAGGAAGGAAGGACAUGGGCAAUGGCAGGGGCGUUUCUUGGUGAGCUAAGGAAAUCAAAGUCUCCUAAGAGGAUACUAGCCCAUCAAUUCCCUCUAUAUAGCAACAAUGAACCUGCAAACUAUAAAUAUCAAUAUAAAGUAUGAUAAAAUUGAUCUCGUAUAGACCGAGCAGUGUCCAAAUGUAGAAGAAACACAUACCCUUACUAAAAACAUAACUCCAUAUUUUGUGCACAAAUGGUGGCCAAACACAAAUCCGUUGUAUAUGCUUUUUGAUUCCAAGUUUAAGAAAGGGCCAAACAUUGGGCAUCCUCAUCCUCAUCUGUAAUAGUAACAAAUUCACAUUCCUAUUAGUGUUUACGCCUCAAAACUCAUUUCCAACUUGAUCAAAUUUACUUGCAAAACAUAACUUGAGUCAAGAUAAAAAUAAACUUGGACUUCCUUACCUAGCAAAAGAUGAACAUGAUUCUCAAAAAUCCAAGGUUUUCGAAACCAGACCAAUAGUAAAACUGAUCAGGCCACCAAUUCAUUGGUUCAACAGGUGCAAUUAAAUAAAUCAUUAAAAAAUUCAUAAAAAAUAAAAACCUGAUUCAACUGCCAGGUUCAACCAGUGUUUUGCCCAAUACAAUCAUCCAUACCGGUUCCUAGGUCAAUCAAUUCAAUGCCUUUCUCCGAACCAGGAUCCUAGUCCGGUUCAAAUAACCUUGACUAAACCUAAAAAACUAUUUAAGUUCGGAUUUCAAUUGGUAUUCACAAUUUUAGUUCAAAAAAGAAAAACCCUUAAUGUAAGCUUACAAACCACUCUAAGUCAGACAUUAAGAUAUUUAAAUUCGGCUUACUCAAUAGCCCAAAUUCCGCUAACAUUAGCAAAACCAAAACACGAAAUUCUCAACUGUAAAUAAGUUAGAGAUAAAUUUCAAUCAAAAAGUGAAAAAACAUGAAGGAAGCAAUAGAAGUAGAAAAAUUACUGGAUUCAUAUAAUCAUAUGAUUAUUUAUAGAUGCCAUUGGUCAAUACCUCAAAUAUACAAUGGACCGAUUUCGUACAAACAACAAGAUUGAUCCAAUGAUUAUCAUCACGAUGCACCAAUUCUACACAUCCACAUUUAGUAAGGCUGCUUUUUCAAUUUUGAUAUGUAAAACACUAAUGACUAAUUAAGCAACUCAGAUAAAGAAAAGGAUGUUGUUAAUGUGCAUAUAUAACCAGAUUAGAUAGACCAGAAUUCCGAUGCCGACACUUUUUAUUUCUAUAACUAAAACCAUGGGAUAGGAAAAAUAGCUCAACCCUGAAGAAAAUUGGAAUAACCCUAGCUGGCAUUUGUUCUGCAGAAUUUUGUCACGAAAAAUAAUCUUACCUAUUGAGUUGAUUUAAAAUCAGAAGAUGGCACUUCGGUCAUUCUAGAAGGUGGAGUUUCUGGCCUUGGUGUACGACCUCAGCCAUUCCAAAGUCUGAAUGAAGCGUAUCUACUCCGCUCCCUUCAACAGUUGUCAUUCUAUGAGUUAAGGAUUACACAUUCACCUGUUGGACCUCAGAAUGUAUAAAUAAGUUUGUGUGCUUUUUUCCUGCCUUUGGGGGGUUAAGCAGAUAGAUUAGCUAAAAUUUAUAGAAGGAUACAGUCUUUCAUCCACAUAUCCAUAAUGCUAAAAUCGGCAUCUGAUAGAAGCCAAUAAUCCGCAUCAUUCUGAAAACAAGGGCAAAAAAAGUUAAUAGACAAAAUUAUCAAUUUUGCUGCAAGAUGAAGUCCUAGGGGGAGAAGGUGUUUGAAUCUUGGACCUUACCCUCCUAAGAUGGGUAACCAAGGCUUCUAAUGAAUUAUUCCAGAUGACCUAAAUUCAUAAAUAAUCUUUGACAUGAACCACUGUCCAUAUAUAUGAUGUUUGUAAAGCUUGGCUAGUGUAAUAACUGGUCAAGAAAAAUGGCACUUACGUCCGUAUCCGACGGAACAAUUCUCAUCAUUCCCCCAACAGACUAUUGUGCAGCAUUUAUAUCAGAGCAGAUCUGAUGAGUUUGCUGUGCCUGUGGUUCAAUCUCCUUUCAGAUGCUCACUGUAUUGACCAACUCAACUUGGUUUUCAUUAGAGCCAGAACUUGAAGCAAGUGGGACACUCAGAGGUUGUUCAACACCAUUCAUCUCUUCAAAUUUCUCCUCAAAUUGGCUGAGGAAGCAACAAUGGAAAAGAAAGACAUUAAAACAACCUAUCUUCUUAUCAUCAAUUAAACUUAUUCCAAAGAACACCUGACUAGGUAAACAAAAAUCGGACCCAUUGUGCUUCUAAGGAAUAUCCCGUAUCUCCUUUGUCGGUAAUCAAAAUCCUGUAAUAUAUAGGAGCAAUGUGACAAUGCGUUUAAAUCAUGAAAGUGGAAAAUGGUAGUAAGUCAUUAAAAUUCUCUAUGGCAUCUUACUUCAUCAGGAUCAGGUACUUCGAGAGUUGUUCCAUGUGGAGCUUUAAUUGCUAUCAGGCUUUCAUUCUGCUAAAACCAAGGUGUCUUGAAGAUUAGUAUCAAAUGCAGAAUAUCAUUGCAGAAGUGUUAAUUUAGAAGCAUGAAAUAAACGAACCUGAAAACAAGGUAUACCCUUGAUGUCCUCUUCAGUCACAAAAAGCAACCUGAAACAGUGUGAAGAUAUGUAAACGUAUAAAUUUUUUGCAAACAAUUAGCAGUUAAACUUCCAUUAAUUGGAUCACAGUGCAAGGCAGACAAGAAAAUUGUACUUCCGAUUAUUGUCAUUCUCACUCAAAUCCCUAAACCUUUCCUGCAUUUCUCUGCAAUAUUUUAGAAGCAUCAGCAGUACUAAACAGGUUCAAGACAGUAACAGUUGCUACUUUAACAAGAGAAUAAGCCAUGCACAACCUUAUUUGAUCAUCUAAUCUCCUCUCUUCCAUGGAAAGGUUCUAAAUUUCCUCCUGCAUUAAAGAAUAGAAAUUAAGCUCAUAGGUAUGAGAAAUAAGCAGCACAAAUCAAUCAAUCAGGAGUGAUUGAAAAUUCUCUUGAAAGUCAUUACCAAAAAUAAAGAAACAGAAAACAUCCUAUUGAAGCAAUGGUCAGCAUAGCAAUCACAUGUUUUAUUAUUAUUAUUAUUAUUAUUAUUAUUAUUUGGAUGUAAUGAUGUAACUUAGUUGUAUUCCAACUAAGUUUGUUAGUGGUAGUAAGUGGUGAUUUAUUGAUGAAACUUAGUUGUAUUCCAACUAAGUUUGUUAGUGGUAGUAGGAGGUGAUUUAUUUUAAGUGGAUGUAAUGAUGAAACUUAGUUGUAUUCCAACUAAGUUUGUUAGUGGUAGUAGGUGGUGAUUUAUUUUAAGUGGAUGUAAUGAUGAAACUUAGUUGUAUUCCAACUAAGUUGUCAAGUUGUAAGCUUGUAUAAAUAGGCUUUAUGCCAUUUUAAAAAAAAUGAAUAAAUUCAAUCAAGAUUUCAUCCAUAUACUCUCUAUUUGUAUAAAUAGGCUUUAUGCCAUUUUGUUUCUGCCGCAAGUCUCGAUUCUUGCUCGGCAAGCUUUUUGUUGAACCUUGCUAUUUGUUGCACUUAGCUCCAACAAUUGGUAUCAGAGCCUAUUUCUUAAGGGAUCUGUUAUACAAAUUCAUGGCUUCAUCAAGCUUUUCACCAGCUGCACCUCAAGUCUUCAAUGGAGAAGGCUACCACAUAUGGGUGGUUAAAAUUAAGACCUACCUACAAGCUUUCGAUCUGUGGGAGGUAGUCAACUCAGAUGUUGAACCAGAGCCACUUAGAGGCAAUCCAACAGUGGCUCAAAUCAGGCAGCAUGCUGAUGAGAGGACCAAGAGGCACAAAGCCAUGUCUUGCAUCCAGAACUCAGUGUCAGAUGUGAUUUUUACAAGGAUUAUGGCCUGUGAAUCACCAAAACAAGCCUGGGACAAGUUGCAAGAGGAGUUUCAAGGGACAGAGAGGACAAGGCAGCAACAGUUGCUGAACUUAAGGAGAGAUUUCGAGAAUUUGAAGAUGAAGGAAGAAGAAACUAUCAAGCAAUACUCUGACAGGAUUAUGGCUGUGGUUAACAACAUUAGGCUCCUUAGAGAGCAGCUCAAGGAAGCUAGGAUAGUGGAGAAGGUUAUUGCAACUUUGCCCGAGAGGUAUGAGGCAAAAAUCUCAUCUCUCGAAGACUCAAGGGACCUGUACACCAUCUCCCUGACAGAGUUGAUCAAUGCUUUAUAUGCUCAAGAGCAAAAAAGAGCAAGCAGACUGGAGGAGCAUCAAGAAGGUGCCUUUCAGGCAAGAACAAACACUGCCUACAAAGGCAAGAAGGCCUGGAGAGACAAGCCAAGGACUGAUGUUGCAAGAAAAGAGGGUCAGACUUGCAAGCACUGCAGAAGGGCUGGUCAUCCAAAAGAAAAAUGCUGGUUCAAUUCAGAUGCUGUAUUUCAGCAUUGUAAAAAGAAGGGUCAUGUUGAGAGAGUCUGCAAGAGCAAGGCUAAAUCAAGGCAGAGUCAGUUUCAACAGAUGAAAGCUGAGGCUCGAGUAGCUAAGGAGGACAGUGACCAAGAGGAGCAAGUCUUUGCUGUGUUAUGCUCAGCUGCUCAAGAAAGGUUCUCAUCUGGUUGGCUUCUAGACAGUGGAUGCACCAACCACAUGACACCUGAUGCUGCAAUCUUCAAGUCUUUAGACAGAAGCUGCAGAACUAAAGUCAAGAUAGGAAAUGGACAUUUUAUUCAAGCUGAAGGCAAGGGUGAUGUGCUGAUAUGCACCCCCACAGGUGCCAAAGUGAUUUCAAAUGUGCUUUUGGUGCCUGAAAUUGACAGAAACCUGCUCAGCAUAGCUCAGUUGCUGGAGAAAGGUUAUUCUGUUGUGUUCAAAGACAACCAAUGCCAAAUCAAUGAUCCAAGUGGAUCCAAGCUGAUGGCAGUUCCUAUGGCUAAUAAGAGCUUUGUAGUUGACUAGACCAGGGAGUCAGACAUUGCCUACACAGUCACAUCAGAUGAAUCCAAGCUUUGGCAUCAAAGACUGGGACAUGCCAACUUCAGAUCGAUGGCUCGAAUGGUCAGAGAGGACUUGGCUGAAAACUUCAUCAACUCAGUGGAUCAUGAUGAUGUGUGUGAAGUGUGUCAGCUAGGAAAGCAGGCCAGACUCCCAUUUCCCUCGAAUCAAGCCUGGAGAGCCUCUGAAAAACUCCAACUGGUGCACACUGAUGUGUGUGGCCCUAUGAGGACUAAGUCAUUAAGUGGAAACAGGUACUUCAUACUGUUCAUUGAUGAUUUUUCAAGAUAUUGCUGGCUUUACUUCCUAAAACAGAAAUCAGAGGCGGCCUCAGUGUUUUGGAAGUUCAAGACUGCUGCUGAGACUGAAACAGGUUGCAAACUGAAGUCCAUAAGGUCUGAUAAUGGGACUGAGUACACCUCAGCUCAGUUCCAGGCCUUCUGUGAUAAGGCAGGCAUCAAACAUCAACUUACCAACACAUAUACACCUCAGCAAAAUGGUGUAAGUGAAAGGAAGAAUAGGAGUUUGAUGGAUAUGGCCAGCUGCUUGAUGAUUCAGAAGAAUCUGCCUAAAGCACUAUGGGCAGAGGCAGUUAACACUGCAAACUACAUUCAAAAUAGGCUUCCAACCAAGGCCUUGGAUCAGAAGACUCCAUUCGAAGCCUGGUUUGGAUUCAAGCCAUCACUGGCUCAUCUGAAGGUCUUUGGAUGCAUCUGUUAUGCUCAUGUACUUGCUGUCAAAAGGGACAAAUUGUCUGAAAGGGCUCGACCUGGUAUUUUGGUGGGCUACAGCACUGUUAAGAAGGGCUAUAGGAUCUUGGAUCCUUCAACAAAGAAAGUGUCAAUCAGUAGGGAUGUGGUAUUUGAUGAAAAGUCAUGUUGGAACUGGGAAAAACAUGAACCUGAGGAAGUUUCAGGAGGACUUGCAGCAGAUCAAGCUGAGCCAGAUCAAAAUGUUCCUGAAAUGGACAUUGAUGAUGAACCAGUUAGAGGAACAAGACCAUAGACUGAGAUUUAUGAAAGAGCUCAUGUAGCCAUAGCUGAACCAAGCAAUUUUGAAGAGGCUGAAGCUCAGCAAGAGUGGAAGCAGGCAAUGGCUGAGGAGAUUAGCAUGAUUGAGAAGAACCAGACCUGGGAAUUAGUUGAAAGGCCAGUCAAAAGGAAGAUAAUUGGGGUGAAAUGGGUGUACAAAGCCAAGCAAAAUGCUGAUGGUACCUUGAACAAACUGAAAGCAAGGCUAGUUGUCAAGGGGUUCAGUCAGAGGUAUGGCCUGGACUACCUGGAGACCUUUGCACCAGUGGCCAGGCUAGACACCAUCAGAUUACUGAUUGCCUUAGCAGCACAGCUCGAGUGGAAGAUCCAUCAACUCGAUGUGAAAUCAGCCUUUCUGAAUGGUUUCUUAGAUGAAGAGAUCUAUGUUGAACAACCACAAGGGUUUGAGAUAGCUGGCAGAGAGCAUAUGGUCUACAAACUGAAGAAGGCCCUAUAUGGUUUAAAACAGGCUCCAAGGGCCUGGUACAGCAGAAUCGAUGGCUACUUGACUAAUUUGGGAUUCGAUCGAAGCAAGAGUGAGCCAACACUGUAUGUCAAGAAGCAAGGGACACAAACACAGCUCAUUGUAUCCUUAUAUGUUGAUGACCUGCUGGUGACAGGAGGAGAUCGAGCAGUGCUGGUCGAUUUCAAGACCAAGAUGCAAGAAGUAUUUGAAAUGUCUGAUCUAGGGGAAAUGUCUUAUUUCCUUGGAAUGGAGGUGACUCAAGCACAAAAUGGGAUAUUUUAAGUCAGAGAAACUUUGCCACAAAGAUUCUGACCAAGUUCUCCAUGCAAAACAGUAAAGCAACUAAAACACCUGUUGCUGUUGGAGAAAAACUAUCGAGCCAAGGUGAUUUUGAGAAGGUUUGUGAAACAACCUACAGAAGUCUAGUUGAUUGUCUGUUAUAUUUAACUGCCACUAGACCAGACAUAAUGUAUGCUGUAGGAUUGCUCUCAAGGUUCUUGCAUUGUUGCAAUAAAAAACAUUUACAAGCUGCUAAGAGAGUGCUUAGAUAUGUCAAAGGCACUUUGAGCUAUGGUUUAAGGUACAGCAAGGAAGGAAAUCUGAAGCUGGUUGGCUACACUGAUAGUGACUGGGCUGGCUCGAUAGAUGACAUGAAAAGCACCUCAGGGUAUGCUUUCAACCUUGGUUCAGCCAUGUUUUGCUGGAGCUCGAAGAAGCAAAGUCUGGUGGCUCAAUCUACUGCUGAAGCAGAAUAUGUGGCAGCUGCAAGUGCUGUCAACCAAGCCAUUUGGCUAAGGAAAAUCUUAGCUGAUUUGAAAGUGCAUCAAAAGGAAGCUACUGAGAUCUUCUGUGACAACCAAUCUUCAGUUGCAAUUGCUAAAAAUCCAGUGUUCCAUGGAAGAACAAAGCAUUUCAGCAUCAAGUUGCAUGUUGUUCGAGAAAUGGAGCAAGCUCAGGAAGUGAAGCUGAUCCAUUGUAAUUCUGAGGAUCAACUUGCAGACAUUUUGACUAAAGCCCUUAAUGUCACAAGGUUCGAAUGUCUAAGAAGGAAGCUAGGUGUUUGCUCCAUGCAAACCAAGGAGGAGUAUUGAAGCAAUGGUUAGCAUGUAGCAAUCACAUGUUUUAUUAUUAUUAUUAUUAUUAUUAUUAUUAUUAUUAUUUGGAUGUAAUGAUGUAACUUAGUUGUAUUCCAACUAAGUUUGUUAGUGGUAGUAAGUGGUGAUUUAUUGAUGAAACUUAGUUGUAUUCCAACUAAGUUUGUUAGUGGUAGUAGGAGGUGAUUUAUUUUAAGUGGAUGUAAUGAUGAAACUUAGUUGUAUUCCAACUAAGUUGUCAAGUUGUAAGCUUGUAUAAAUAGGCUUUAUGCCAUUUUAAAAAAAAUGAAUGAAUUCAAUCAAGAUUUCAUCCAUAUACUCUCUAUUUUAGCUUUGCUUAAAAUUUAUUUCAUUUUUCUUCUUUGUUUCUGCCGCAAGUCUCGAUUCUUGCUCGGCAAGCUUUUUGUUGAACCUUGCUAUUUGUUGCACUUAGCUCCAACACAUCCUAAUGAACCAUAUCAAGAAAAUUGGUUGGCUGGAUGUCAAUGAAAUGAAAAUUGACAUUACUUUCACGUACCUGUAUUACAGAGACAUCGCUAUCUGUUUCUCCUGGCUUUGAAGCACCAACACGCCUAGGAAAUUUGAUUAAUCCUCAAAUAAGUCUCACAUUUUUCAAAGGUUAACCAGAAUGAAAACCAAAUUAAGACAUCAAAUUCUUGAAAAAUGAUUAACAUCAUCAGUAAUUACUUCCACUGUAUUCUGUUUUUUAACUUCUUUUCGAUAAGACCAAUGCCCUCCAAGACAUUUGUUAUAUCAUAUAUCCUCCUCUUCUGCACCUGUUACAACAUUUACAGGGAAAAAUAAAAGACAAAAGAACCCUUUAAGUAACAUGAAAAAAUACUCAACAAACACCCAAUGAUACAUAAGCUCACUAGUAUGUCACUACCUCCAAUGUUUCUGCAGCCUUAUUUAGGUCAAGGAUACCAUCUUCAGCAUGCUUCAUCAGAUUGACAAACUUUUUCGCCAAGGUAUUGAUGAUAGAGCCGUGAAGUGAACCAUAAGUUUCCUUCUAUGGACUAAGCCAGUAGGAAAUAGUAAUAUAGUAUCGCACCAGCAUUUGACACUGGUGUGUGAGGCAUUGAUUUAUUGGCUUUUGAUGUCUUUGAUCUAUUAUUUAUCCUUCCUCCUUUAGCAUAUACAGGUGUCUGGAAAGGACUGUUGGAUAUGCUGGUAACCCCCAGACUGCUUGUCCAUUGGCUAGACUCAACAUCAUUUUUGUCUGCUGCACUCUUCCUUUUUAAUUGCUGAGAAAAAUCAGCAAUAUUUCAAAGUACUGCCAAUGGCAGGCAAAAUUACAAGGUCCCUUAGUAUUUGUGCACGGUUAUAUCUAAAUUAACAACCAAUUGAAUUGAAGAAAAUAAAAUAAAAAAGAGCAUAAGUUUAACAAAUGCAUAUGUACGAGAGCUUGUACAAGAAAACUUACUGUUAGCCAUAAGAACCAUCAGAAAUGUUUCGCUACUUGAUUCAAAAGUUAAUCCACAAAGGCCAAAACUCAAAGAGAUAAAUGCCAUGAAAAAUCAAGUAAAGUAACUAGUAAUUCACUUGUUAUCGCGUUGAAGACAAUAAAGAAAAAGAAUAUAAUAUAUGAAUAUAAUUUUGUCCGGAAAACUAGCAGAGCAGUCGUAUUAUACAUAAGGGGGGAAACUAUAGUGAUAGACAUUAUGGAUAUCAACUGAAUCGUUUUUCAAACAUCCAUCAAAAGACAAAACAUCAAAAGAACUAACACCCAUUAAGCUUUCUUCAUGUAGAGCAUGAGGCCAGCAUUCAUUCAAUUUCAACUUAGUACAGCAAACGAGCACUUUAAUCUACCAAAACUCCACUAUAUCAUCAAAUACAUCAUCACAAACGGAAAUACCUCACACAUUAAAAUACAGACAUCACAAUUUCACUGCAGAAACAAAUAAUGCUACUCAUAAUUUAUCCCCUAAGAAACUUAGCCACCAUGAAAAGCUCUAUUCGUGAACAGAUUGAAAGAUCACACACACAAAAAAAAGAAAAGAAAAGAAAAGAAAAAGCAAAUGACAUGAAGCGUUAAGUGAGAGUACAAUUCUCAUCAAAAUUGAAAUAAUAUACUACUAAUUACAUGACAGCCACCGUUUUCAAAAGAGAAUUUUUAAACUCACUGGAGAUCUCACAACAAUUGCUCCAACUUCUUGAUCGGCGACGAUUCCACGACUAUUACUAGAUGAAAAUCUGUGAUAAUCAUCGGGAUGAACAAACGGCGGCUUCGUCGAAUCGAAGGCCAGGUGACGACGUAUCGGCGUAACAACCGGAGGAACCGUCGAAGCUGGUAGCGUUGAAGCCGUAGGAGGAGGUUGAUACGGCAGCGUGAGACCAUCCCGGACAUGGAGGUUUAAGUUCAGACAUUAGAGAGAGUAGAAAAGGAGGGAAAAGAGAGGGAAUCUUUUGUAUAUAAUUAUAAGUUAAUGUGCUAAUUUCAUUUGUUUUUACCUUUUUGAACUCUUACUUUUUUCAAUUUUUCAAUUUCAUCCUAAAAUAAAAUUCAAAUACAUAUAUAAGGGUUGAAGUACCGGUAUUAUAAUUAUAGGGACUGCAUACAAAUUAGUUCCUCUAUCGUUAAAUGGUUAAUUUAUUAUCUGUACUAUUAAAAUUGAUCUAUUAAUGUUAAAUCUCUUAAAAUUUAACCUUAUUUGGUUCCUUUUAGUAGUAGUAGAAUAAAAUUAGUUCAUUUAAUAAUAGAGGGACUAAUUUUAAACUUUCCAAAUAUUUAACCCUUAUAUAAGCUAAAAUAUUAUUUUUUUUAAAAAAUUAAUCAAUAGACUUGUCUAUAAUAUUAUUCUUUUAAUAUUAAAAAUUAAUAAUUUAGUAAUAUUUAUAUAUUUUUUAUUAUCUUGUUAAAUAAGUAAUUUAGUGAGUUUGAAUAUUGUAGUGGUGAGAUUAAAUUUAAUUGUGGAAUAUGUAUUUCAAUUCAAAUGCAGAUGUAGCAAUGAGAUAAAAAUAGAAAAUUACUAUUAAGAACAUUAAGUUAAAACGUAUGUAUAUGUAAAAUAAAUAAUUAAUAAUAUAUUUAAAAAUAAAAUAUUUUAAAUAAUAAUUAAAAAUAUCAAAACUAUGUUUAUAUUAAAAAAAUAAUUAAAGUUAUAUUUUAUAUUAAAUUAAGAAUUAUAUGUUUUAAUUUUUUUGUUAAAUUAGUAGUUAAAAUCACUAAAAAAUUUAUUUCAUUAUUAUUUACUUUCAAACUUUUAUGUUUGAAUUUGUUAUUGUUGCACUAUUUUAAUUAUGUACCACAAUUUGAAUAAUAUUAUUUUUGCAUUAAUUACAUAAAAUAAAAAUAUAUUAUUCAGUGAAUAAAAAAUAUAUAAAAUCACGUAUAAUAAUAUUCAAUGAAUAAUAUUAUUUUUCUCUUUAUUUUCCUUAUCAAAACACAACUAAUUUUCAAUAAUGUAACAAGGUGAAAGCCUAAUUCCAAGCAUUCAAAUAAACUAUAUAACUAUAAGAGAAGAAAUGUAGCCAAAUUUGGAAUUAAAAUUUUCAAAAAUUUUAAACAGCUUAAUGAGAAUUUCAAUAAAAGGGUCUAAUUAAAAUUUAUAAAACUAUUAAAGGGUUUAAAUAAAUUUAAAAGAAAUUGAGGAGUCUAAUUAAAAUUUUUUUUAAAAAUUGAAGGCUUAAUGAAAAUUUUCCAAAUUUAGGGGGUGGGGGCAAGGGGAGCUUUGGCUCUUGUUACGUUUUGUCCCAAGUAAUUUUUUUUAAGAGAGAUCUAUUAAUUCAUUCAAUAAAUAAAUGAACAAUUCAAGAAAAAAAAUAUCAAACACUCGUACGCCCUAAAGAACAAGCUCCAUCAAUAUAAUAAAAACUUCAGCUUCAGCAUCAAUAGAACAUUAUGGCACGUUGACAAUGGGCUCUGUCACAACUCAAGCACAACAUAUCAGAAGCGAUUACAAGCACUUAAUACAAUAAGAAAAUCAACCCUAGAUGGUCCAAAGCGGCGAGCAUAAAUCGGCAAAAGAACCAAGCAUCUACCAAACUAGAGAAGACAAUGACUAAACCAACCCUAAAAGUAUUUGCAAAACCAAAACUAAAUGCAUAAUAAAGACUAAAAAGCAUAUUAUAAGAGUAGGCAAAACUUUUAAAAGUGAAUACUCAUUAAACAAUAAAAAAUAAAUAAAAACAUAUAAAACGUAAGAUAACACGAGUCAUGAAAUCAUUUAUUAUUUUGAAACUCUCAAAACAGAAACAUAUUAAGAAGUCAACGAAGAGCUACCUACUUUCUAAAAGAAACUAUCGGUAGUUGAUGGUAUUUCAAACGAUGAAAGGCACCGUCAUCUAUCCAUCCCAACUUGUGAAGACAACAAAAAUAACCACAAAUAGAUCUGUAAACUGAAAGAAAGAUAAGAUGCAUGGAAUAAAUAAGAAGAAGAAAGAAAAGAAGGGUUUAUGUGUAGAAAAAACAGGCGGGCGGUAGCUAACCCGUUCUGCCCCUGAGUAAUUUUUGAAACUAUACAAAUCAUACUUAAUUAUAAUUAUAUGUUUUUGUAUUUAAAUCAAAUUAGAUUGCAUUAAAAAAACAAUUUAUGUAAGGUUCGAUUGAAUUAAUGAAAAUUUGAAAAAGAAAAAAAAAAUUCUCAAGAAACAUUACAUGGAAAUGUAACUUUUUUAAUCUCUAAAAUUGUAUUGCUAAGUGGACCUUAAUCGAAGAUGCAAGAAUUAAAGAAAUAAGGUUUAAAUUCUGUCAUAGAAAUUCUGAAAAAAAAUUAACCUUAAUGUAUCGAAAAAUAAUUUCACAAUUAUCUAGAAAUUGCAAACAUUUAGAUUUUGUUCACAUAUUAAUUGCAUUUUUUUUUCUAUUUCCUCCUAUUUACUAUAACAAAAUUAAAAUCCCCCAAGUCCUAUAUUUUUUUUGUAAAUUUAGAAUUUAGUUUGUAUAUUUUUAUUUUUAAGAAUUUAGUCAUUAUACUUUUUAAAUUUUAAAAUUCAAGUUCAACUGGUUAAAAUUAUUUUAUUAAAUUCAGGUUCAUUAAAAUGUCAUAUUCUUAGUUACAUGGCUACCAAGUAAGUAAAAUUUUUUUUUAUUUCAAACUGUCACACUAACAAAUUCAACAAAAAAAAAUUAACAGUACUAACAAUUGGACCUGAAAUUUGAACUCUAAAAAGUAAAAAAAUUAAAUUCCUAUAAGUAUAAGUAUAAAGACUAAAUUUCAAAUUUAUAAUGAGUACAAAGACAUAUGACAUAUUUUAACUUUAAAAAGGGUAACCUACUUUAGUAGUCACCCAAUUAAGUUUUUUUUUGGUCACUCAAUUAUGAAAAGUUACAAAAUAGUUACCAACGAUUCAAUUUUAUCAUUUUUAUCAUCAGUUGGCUAAUGAAAAUAUAGAAAACACCAAAAAUCCAAGAUAAUUGGGUGAAAAAAAAUGAAAAAAUAAUAGUUUAUUGAAUAUUUUGUAAUUUUUCAUAAUUAGGUAAAAAAAUACUAAUAAUUUAGUGAUUAUUUUGUAACUUUUAAAUAAUUGAAUGACUUAACGACGUCAAAUAGAAGACGAGAAAACAAAUUUAAAACAAAGAUAAACAAAAACAAUGUACUUAACGACGUUAUUUUUUUCUUCUCCAACCAAAACGCUGUCGCUUUGAUCUCCAAACGUAAUAUAAGCCGGACACCUUACAUCAAUAUGCUACCUCCCAGUUACUGCAGGGGACCAUUCAGAAAUUUGUGUCAAACAACGUUAAACAUGGUGGGACCAUUUCCAACCAAACAACAUUAUUUUCAUUUAAUAAUAAAUGUGUUAUUUGUAUUAAAUAUUCUCAAUUUAUUAUUUACUUUUAAAAAAAUUAAUUUAUAAAUUCUAAAAUAUUUUAAUUAAGUUUUGAAAGUAUUAAUAUUAUAUCAAUAAAAUUAUUUCAUUUUUAUAGUUGUCAAUUUAGCUUUUUAAAUCUCACUUCAGAUUUGACAUGAAUUAAAUUGUAAAUACUUGCGUACUCAUCAUAUUGAUAACUUGAUUCUAACAUAUUAAAAACACGAUGAGAUUAUAAAAUUUAAGAGGAUUAUUUCUUUUUUUUAACACAUUAGAUUCAAGUUGUCCGUAUAACAUGUACACACGUGUUUUAAGUAUGUCUCCUAUUAUAUUUGAGCGAACAUUUAAUGCUCAAGCUAACGGCUAAGUUAAUAGAAAAAUGGGAUAAAUCUCAAAACUAUAUAUAAACUUUGGCAUAAUAUGUAAUUUUAUACAUGAAAUUUCAAUUUAAUUAAAUUUUCACAAAUUAUUAACACAAUUAUUAAUAUAACAUCAUUUUAUGUUUAUAUAUUGCAUAAACAAAUAAUUAUGUUUAUCCACAACAAAAAUAAAUUGAUGUAUCUAUUUAUUUAAAUAUGUAUGGUUGAAUCAAAAUAAAAAUUUAUGUAUAAUUUUAAGAUUUAUCUCUAGAAAAAUCAAAUUGGUAUAAUUAUGAUAUCUUAAGAAUUCAAUUAGAAUGUUAUUUGGGUUAUAAUUUGCGAAUGUAUAGUGCAAGCAAUCAUUUUAUAUGUUUUAAUUUUAUUUAUCAUCUUAUUUUAAAGGAAAAUUAUUUCAUUCAUUACUAAUAAAGUUUAAAAAUUAAAAAAAAUAGAGUUAAAUGGAUAACACAUACCAAUUUAAAGUGAAGUAAAAUAAAUUUUUAAUGAAACUUGUGAUAUUAAAAUUUUUCAUUGAAAUGCUAAACUUAUUUAAAUAUAUAUUUUUUAGAGUUAAUGCACUAUUUGGACAUGAACUUGACAAUUGUUUUCAUAUUAGAGCUUGAACUUUUUUGUUUCAAGUUAGUCCCUCAAUUUGGAGAUUGUUUUCACGUUGGGGUCUUUUUUAUUUUUUUGGUUCAAGAUAGUCAUAUUUCUUUUAAAAAGUAUUCAAGACUACAAUAUGAAAACAAUUACAAAAUUUAGAAAUUAACUUGAACAAAAGAAAAGUCUAAGCUAUGGAACGACUUCCUAUUCUAAGCCUGUUUUGGUGUAGUGAAUAUGACAAUAAUUACUAAGUUCAAAAAUUAACUUGAACAAAAAAAAAUUCAAACCUCAAAGGGAGAAUCGUUGUCUAAUCUAAGCCUCAUUGUGGGAAUAAGUGUCAUAUUCAAAGAUUAACUUGGAUAAAAUAAUUUAAACCUUAAUAUAAGAACAAAUACAAAAUUUAGACCGCAAAUAGUGUUUGAAUUUGUUAUUUUCUUUUGUUUGCCUAAUCAAUUUUACAAUGCGAACUGGGGGUGGCUUUUAAUUUUGAGGUUUACAAAGUAGAAAAAAAUACAUUAUUUUUCUAUUGAAAUGUGUCGUUGACAUUAAGGGAGGGUUAGAUUCUUGUAAGUGAGUAUUUAAUAAUGAGGAAAAACUUUUUGGAUCCACAUCUGUGUUUCAUCUUGUUCCAAUCAUUUUCAUUGUCUUCUCUUGCAGUAAUCAAACACUUUUUGCUUUGAUUUCAGUUUGAACCAAUAAUGGCCAAAGCAAUUGCUUUCGACAUCGCCACAGAGCUCAUUACUAAGUUGAGCUCUCGUCCGCUCUCUCAAGUUGGACUAUGCUGGAAUCUCAAACAUGUCAUCGACGACCUCAAACGCAUUGUUCGUACAAUCAAAGCUGUGCUUCUUGACAUAGAAGAGAAAUUGGUGACCGACAAUCUCGUUAAAGUUUGGCUUGAAGAGUUGAAAGAUGUACUUUAUGAUGUUGACGACUUGUUCGAUGAUUUCUCUACCGAAGCUUUGCAAAAAGAUCUUAUAGGUGGGAACAAGCUAACAAAAGAGGUACGCCUUUUCUUCUCAAGCUCAAACCAGUUUGCUUACGGUCUUAGAAUGGGUCGUCAAAUUAAGGCCAUUAAAGCGAGGCUAACUCUUUUUAGAAGGGAGGCUAACAAUUUUGGCUUUAUGGUGUGUGACAGCUCGUGUCUUAGGCCGUGUAACUUUUGAAAUAGGGACACAUAGUCGUGUCCCAGCCCGUGUUCGUGUAACUCUCUGACUUGGGUCACACGGCCAAACCACAUGCCCGUGUGUCAGGCCGUAAAACUCUCGAAAUGGCCUCACAAGCCCGUGUGCCAAGCCGUGUGUUAGGCCAUGUAACAGCCUAACUUACAACCUAUAGGGGACACACGGCUGAGACACACGCCCGUGUCUUAGGUCGUGUGGACAAGAAAUUGACCAAAAUCAAGCCUUUUCCUUCACCAACCUCAAGUAUGUACCUAAUCACAUUUGCACAUAUGACCAAGGCAUCAAAACCUACUCAAAACAUACAUAAAAAUGACUAAUUCACUAUACUAUUAAUCCAUACAACCAAUAUGCCAAUAAGACACCUCAAUCUCAAACCAUCAAACAUACUUAAACAUGUGCAUAUUUGACCAUUCAUCAACCAUUCACCAACAAUUCACAUCUAACUUAUUUCCAUACCAAAACUUAUCACAAUUGACCAUAGUGAAACUAUAUCAUUAUAUACCAAAUUGGUCAUUCAAAACAUGCAUCAACCUAGCCAUAUUAACAUAAACCAUCAAUGCAUCAAAGUACCAAAAAUACCACAACUCAAAGAAACAUUUACAUACCACAAACAUCAACUAACCCUUAGAUAUAAGUUCAACUAUACAUGCCAUUAUAACCUUAACCAACACAUCAAAAUCCACCGAUAUAUAAUUGCUGGGUAGUGUGGUAGGUCUCCGACGAGCUUCCAAACCGAUCGAGCUUCUAAUAAUCUAUAAAACAUAGGAAAGAAAACUAUGUAAACAUAUAAUGCUUAGUAACUUCGUAAAUCAUGAACAUAACUUACUAUUUCAACGCAAAACCUUAUAAAAUAGACAUGAAUCAAUCCAACAUAAGCUUGGCACAAGCUUAAGCAUCAUCAACAACACAAGUUAGUGCUUUAACACAUAACUCAACAAAAUCAUCGCAUGGUAAGAUAUAAUACAUGAACAGAGCACCAAUUAAUUCAUACUUUCCAUAAUCAUGAAUAUAAAUACAUUGAUUUCUAACAAUGUAUUUGUUAAUAUGCUUAUGUGUGUGAUGUGUUUAGGGUAUGUGGAAUAUAUUUGCAUAAUCUGAUACUGAUAGUUCUCAUGGUAUGUCCUGGUUCGCUAUGUCUAUAUAUGUCCGUAUGAUGUGUGAUUAUGUUAAUUUGUAUUUCGAAAUCGGCCAUAUGACCAUGCAUGUGACAUUGUGGCUUUUCUGUUAAGGUGAUUUAUAAUUAUGAUAUAUCUAUAUACAAAGUAUGAAAUCACAUGCUUACUGAUUUUUGUUAAGAAUAUGAAUGCAUGUUCAAUAUGCUUAUCAUUCUAUUUCAGUUUAUGCAUGCCACGUCACAUUGCAUGGGGUUAGGAUAUUAUGGUAUGGAGAAAGUGUCAGCAGUUUAAUCAUCUACAUUAUCUGGUGAUUUAUUUACAUUUCUGUUUACAUUUAUGAUGGCUCGACCACACACAUAUGUUGUUUUGACAGCUUGGCUACAAUAUAGUGGCUUGUCUACAUAUAUUCGAUCUGAUAGUUUUAACUGCAAUCUCUGGUGGCAUUGACCAAAAUUAUUAUGUUGGUGUGAUUAUAUGGAUGAGUUUUGGGGAACUCUAUUUGGUGUGUACCGGAGUUGGGCAGGAUGUUUUAUAUAUAUAUAAAAAAAACCAGCAUUACAUUUUUGGAAAAAUAUUGCAUUGGCAUAAGCACGCAUUCUCAGUUUUGCUCAAAUCAUCGUUAUGAAAUUCUCUGUGAUCCUGUGAAUUGUUGGAUGUGUUAUUUGAGUUCUAGGUUUGAGUUUGUUACACACUGAGCUUUAUGGCUCACCCCUUUGUUUAAUCUUUGACUUUUAAGGUAAUCUUUGAGUUUGGGAUCGGAUGGCGUGCGGGAGCUCGGAUUGUUUUCUCGAUUAAAUAAAUAAGAUUGCUUUUCUGGACUUUUUGGACUGUAAAGUUAUUUUUGGACUGGGUUUUUGGUUAUCGUUCUUUUUGUUGGAUUUGAUAUUUUUAACAUUAGACUGCAUAAUCGUAAGAGUUAUCAAACUAAAAUUUUGUUUUCAAAACGAAGAAAUCUGAAUUUUCUGCUGCAACGAUUAAGUAAUCACGUAUUUUUCUGUAAACAAAUAUAUGGUUUUUAACAAAUGUUUGCCUUAGUAUUGGAAAUGAUCUGCCAACAUUAGUACUUUCAAAACAUGCAAUUUUGAAUUCAAAUUCUGGGUUUUAAAUAGGUGUUUUCAGACUUUGGUUUUUCUAAACAUCUAUGAGAGUUUUGCCAAUUUUUAUGUUUUCGAAACAUGCACUGAGUUUGAUUAAAACAAAAGUUUUUGAACAAGUUGACGUAAAUAUUCCUCAAUAUCUGUUUAUAACUUUUAUGUCGGGUUUAAGUUGUUACACAAUUACUCAUCCUUGCUAUAACCUUAUAACGUUGUCAUUAAAAAAUUGGGGUUGUGAUACUUUUUCAAUUAAGUUUUACUUUUAUAGGUGUUGACAGCCUAAUAGAUAAUUUUUUAGUGGACUUAUUCUUUGACAUACGGGUGAAAUAAUUAUCUCAACUUGGUAAACAAAUUUGGUUUUCAUUUUACUUUUUGGUUUUAUUGGAAGCUGUUUCAAGGUUUUGUUCAAUCAACGGUUGUAAUCCUUCUUUGAACGAGAGAGAAUUUGAAACAGAUUGAAGUGUAGACUUGACAUAUUUUAAUUUAAGCAAGCAGUAUGAUAAUUUUUAGGUGUUUGGGGUUUUUCAUUUCUCUAGGGGCAUGGUUUUGAGGAUGAAAGAUGAUUUUAUUAAGAGAGGUUAUGCUUUACGAUUUGUUAUUAGUUUUAUGAUUUGUUAUUAUAUUUUAGUUGUCAUUUAUUUCGUUUAGGUGAGAUUUAAUUUAAGGUGUUUUGGGUAUAAGUAAGGUGUGCUAUUAAUUAUAAUAUCGUUAUCUCAUUAGGGGUUUCGUAUGUAUAUAAACAAUCAAUUAAAAAUUAAAAUUUAUCUAACAAAGCAGUCAUAUCUUGUUAAUUGUUUAACUUAGAUGUAUUACUUUAUUUUGAAAACUUAACUGAAAAUAUUAAUUUUAAUAAUAAAUAAAAUGGCACUACUGUUAAUAAUAUAUAUUAACACAUUUGAUAACCUAUAUAUAUGUAAGUAUAUAUGUAUGUACACCUUGUAAAAACAUGAUUAUAUAUAAACGAUAACACAACGGUAACAUCUAGAAUAUAGAAUUUAUCAACGGUUAUUAGCCUUAUGUUACCAUACAUAUAUAUAUAUAAUGAUGCUAAAUUUAUAAUAAUAAAAUAUCUCCCCAAAACAACUCAUAAACACCAUUAGUAUUAACAAUAAGAAAGUUUAACUAAUGAAAAAAAGUUAUAAUAAUCAUGUCACUUUGUGUGCCAUGUGGUGAACCCAUGUGGUCAUGUCCGACCAAUUAACAUUACUUUUUUUUUAACAUACUAAUCCUAAGAAAACAACAAAUUUCUUGAUAAAAAGUUUUAUCGAAUUCGACAACAAAAAUUAUAAAUAAAGACUCUCCCUUAAUUAAUUAAGUUUUUAAUAUAAAAUGAAUACUUUUAUAUUGUUCCACAUCUGUGUUUCAUCUUGUUCCAAUCAUUCUCAUUUUACUCCUCUUGCAAUAACCAAACACUGCUUUGCUUGAUUUCUGUUUGAACCAGCAAUGGCCGAAGCAAUUGCAUUCAACCUCGCCCUAGAGCUUAUUACUAAAUUGAGCUCCUUUACUAUUGGAACCCACCCAUUGUUUGAAAAGUCAAAAAGGGUGGGCACCGAAAGUAGAAAGUAAAAUUGGUUGGCAAGUUGGGUUAAAAGUUGGCAUGGGAUAAUUGCAAUUUUGGUCCCUAAUUGUAUAGGGACAUUGCAAGUUGAUCCUUGAACCUCAACUAUAAAUAGGCCUAACCAUUUCUUACUUUCUUCAUCCCACACUUGCCAUUCUCUACUUAAGGCAAUUGUUCUCUCUCCCUAUUUGUAAACUUUCACUUGUAUUUUUGGAGUGAAAUAUAUUUGGUAGUGCCCGAGGACGUAGGCAAAAUUUGCUAAACCUCGUUAAAAUUCUAGUGUUCUUUAUUGUUUAUUCUGCAUAUUUUGCAAGUGUCAUUGUAGUGAUUUAUUGUGCUAUUAAAUUACGAUAGAGGGAUAUUCUGGCUAGGAAAGAUCUGGUAUGUAAGCGAUCCUCGUGAUCCACCUCUCUUUCCUGGGAAUUGAACUUAGUGUGAUUUUUCAGUACAAUAAUUUUACUCUUUCACACGCUUCCGCGCAACAAUUGGUACCAGAGCCAGGUUCGUACUUGGGGAAUACGAUCGUUUACGGUACUAUUCACGUAUACUGCACUAUUCACGUAUAUGGUACUAUUCACGUAUACGACACUAUUCACAUAUACGGUACUGUUCACGUAUACAGUAGUUGGGAUUGAGGAGAAAAAUGGCAGCAGCAUCGUCAUCAGCAAGGACUACUGUGACAAAUGCAAAAUUUGAAGUAGAGAAAUUUGACGGUACCAAUAAUUUUGGUAUGUGGCAAUGUGAGAUCUUGGAUGUCUUAUGUCAGCAAGAGCUAGAUAUAGCCCUUGAAGAAAAACCUGACAAGAUAGAUGACAAGGAGUGGGCCAAGAUCAAUAGACAGGCGUGUGGUACAAUCCGCCUAUGUUUGGCCAAAGAACAGAAGUACUCUGUCAUGAGGGAGACAUCAGCGAAGAAGUUAGGGGAUACACUGGAAGAAAAGUUUCUAACGAAAAGUCUUGAAAAUAGGCUUUAUAAGAAAAAGAAACUUUAUCGAUUCACGUAUGCACCCGGUAUGUCGAUGAAUGACCAUGUGAACUCAUUCAAUAAAAUUUUAGCAGACUUGCUAAAUUUGGAUGAGAAAUUUGAAGAUGAAGACAAGGCAUUAUUGUUUUUGAAUUCCCUUUCUGAUGAAUAUGAUCAUCUUACCACCACAUUGCUUCAUGGGAAGGACACGAUCACAUUUGAUGCAGUCUGUAGUGCGUUGUAUAGAUCUGAGACUCGAAAGAAAGAUAAAAGAGAUCACAGAGAUACAACCGCAGAAGUCUUAACAGUAAGAGGUCGUUCACACAGCAGCAAAUCUGGUAGAAGGGGAAAGUCCAAAGGGAGACCCGCCAAAGAUGAAUGUGCCUUUUGCCGUGAAAAAGGGCAUUGGAAAAAGAAUUGUCCUAAGCUACAAAAGGGCAAGGCUAUUUCUAAUGCAUGUGUAGCGGAGCAUGAAGAGGAGUCAGACUUUAGCUUGGUUGGCAUGGCAAUGGCAUGUCAAACGGAUGAGUGGAUUUUGGAUUCAGGAUGUACUUACCAUAUGUGUCCUAAUAAGGACUGGUUUUCUAGUCUUAAAGAGCUAGAAGGUGGAAUUGUUCUUAUGGGCAAUGAUAGUGCUUGUAAGACAAUGGGAGUGGGUACAGUCCAAUUGAAGAAUCACGACGGCUCAAUCCAAGUCUUGACAGAUGUUCGCUACGUACCUAGCCUGAAGAAAAAUCUCAUCUCAUUAGGGGCCCUAGAAUCUAAAGGGCUCACAAUCACUUUGAGAGAUGGAUUACUAAAAGUAGUAGCUGGGCAACUGACGGUGAUGAAAGGCACAAGAAGAAAUAACUUGUAUUUUUUAAAUGGAAGUACAGUUAUUGGAUCAACAUCAACAGUUUCUACAAAAGAUGUAGAUUCAGAGGCUACCAGAUUAUGGCAUAUGCGAUUGGGACAUGCUGGUGAAAAAGCUUUGCAGACAUUGGUGAAGCAAGGCUUAUUGAAAGGUGCAAAUUCUUGCAAAAUUGAAUUCUGUGAACAUUGUGUUCUGGGCAAGCAGAAGAGGGUAAAAUUUGGUCCAGCAAUUCACAAUACGAAAGGAAUUCUGGACUACGUUCACAGUGAUGUGUGGGGACCUACCAAAGUAGCUUCUUUAGGAGGUAUGCACUAUUUUGUUACUUUUGUUGAUGAUUAUUCAAGAAAAGUAUGGGUGUAUCUAAUGAAAAGAAAAAGUGAAGUUUUGGAUGCAUUUCUGAAAUGAAAGAAGAUGGUGGAGACUCAGACUGGUCGAAAGGUCAAAUGACUUCGAUCAGAUAAUGGUACUGAGUACAAAAACGAUCCAUUUCUACAAGUAUGCCAAGAUGAGGGCAUUGUGCGACACUUCACUGUUCGGGAUACACCACAGCAAAAUGGGGUGGCAGAACGAAUGAAUCGAACUAUACUGGAGAAAGUUCGAUGUAUGUUGUCCAAUGCUGGAUUGGGCAAAAAAUUUUGGGCUGAGGCAGUUACAUAUGCGUGCCAUCUAAUUAACCGUUUGCCAUCAGCUGCAAUAAAUGGAAAAACUCCUAUGGAGAUGUGGACUGGUAAAUCUGCUACUGAUUAUGAUUCUUUGCAUGUAUUUGGUUCCACUGCAUAUUAUCAUGUAAAAGAAUCUAAGUUAGACCCAAGAGCAAAGAAAGCAUUAUUCUUGGGUAUAACUGAUGGAGUAAAAGGAUAUCGUCUCUGGUGUCCUGAUACAAGGAAGAUUGUUUUCAGUAGAGAUGUGACUUUUGAUGAAUCAACCAUGUUGAAGUACAAGGAUUCACAAAAGGAUGACAAAACCAGUAGUACUUUGCAGCAGGUGGAGCUUGAAAAGGUUAACGAUGAUCCAGCUAAUAUUGAAGGGACAAAUGAUGAAGAGGUUCCUACCCAAGAACCUCUACAGCAACAAGAUUCAAUUGCAUAUAGAAGGCCAAGAAGAGAGAUUCGUAAGCCUGCUCGCUUUGAUGAUAUAGUGGCCUAUGCACUUUCAAUUACAGAUGAUGAUGUUCCUUCUACUUACACAGAAGUAAUAAGUAACCCUGAUGGUGUAAAGUGGAAGCAAGCAAUGAAUGAAGAAAUGCAGUCUCUUCAUAAAAAUAAGACCUGGGAGUUGGUGACACUACCCAAGGGAAAGAAGGCAAUUGGAUGCAAAUGGGUAUAUGCAAAGAAGGAAGGAUUUCCUGAUAAAAAUGAAAUUCGAUACAAGGCUAGAUUAGUAGCAAAGGGUUACGCUCAAAAAGAAGAAAUAGACUACAAUGAAGUGUUUUCUCCAGUUGUGAAGCAUUCGUCUAUUCGAAUUUUGCUAGCCUUGGUUGCGCAAUAUGAUCUUGAACUAGUUCAGCUUGAUGUGAAGACCGCGUUUUUACACGGUGAUUUGGAAGAGGAAAUCUAUAUGACUCAGCCAAAUGGAUUCAAGGUUGCUGGAAAAGAAAAUUGGGUUUGCAAACUGACAAAGUCGCUUUAUGGAUUGAAGCAAUCUCCGAGGCAGUGGUACAAGCGAUUUGAUCAGUUCAUGAAAGGGCAAAGGUACACAAGAAGUAAAUUUGAUCAUUGCGUGUAUUUUCAGAAGCUACAAGAAGGAACUUUCAUAUACUUGCUCUUAUAUGUUGAUGAUAUGCUAAUAGCAUCUAAGAGCAAAGUUGAGAUUGAAAGAUUGAAGACUCAACUCAAUCUCGAAUUUGAGAUGAAAGAUCUAGGAGAAGCUAAAAAGAUUCUCGGCAUGGAAAUAUGGGGAGAUAGAGCUCAUGAUAGAGUUAGCUUAUCUCAGAAGCAGUAUUUGAAAAAGGUACUACAGCAGUUUAGCAUGAACGAGCAGACAAAACCUGUAAGUACCCCGUUGGCUUCUCAUUUCAAGCUUUCUGCACAACUAUCUCCUUCGACGAAUACGGAACGAGAAUACAUGUUGCAAGUUCCGUAUUCUAAUGCAGUGGGUAGCUUGAUGUAUGCAAUGGUGUGUACAAGACCCGACAUUUCACAGGCAGUUAGUAUAGUGAGCAGGUAUAUGCAUAAUCCUGGAAAAGGACAUUGGCAAGCUGUGAAAUGGAUUCUACGGUAUAUUCAGAAGACCGUGGAUGUUGGAUUACUGUUCAAGAAGGAUAAUACACUUGGUAAAGGUGUUAUUGGGUACGUUGAUUCUGACUAUGCCGGUGAUUUGGACAAGCGAAGAUCAACCACCGGUUAUGUGUUUACACUUGCUGGAGGACCAAUAAGUUGGAAGUCUACACUACAGUCUACAGUUGCAUUGUCAACCACAGAAGCCGAGUACAUGGCUGUAACAGAGGCUGUAAAGGAGGCUAUUUGGUUACAAGGUAUGGCUAAAACCUUGGGGUUGGUUCAGGAGCAUAUUAACGUGUAUUGUGAUAGUCAAAGUGCUAUUCAUUUAGCAAAGAAUCAAGUCUAUCAUGCACGUACAAAACAUAUCGACGUACGAUUCCAUUUUGUGCGGGAAAUUAUUGAAGAGGGGAAAAUUUGUCUUCAGAAGAUCAAGACUGCAGAUAAUCCCGCAGAUAUGAUGACCAAGGUGGUAACAGCAACCAAGUUCGAACAUUGUUUGAACUUGAUUAAUAUCCUGCAAGUUUAACAGUUGAAGAAGGCACUAUCGAGUAUUGUUGUCAAAGGCAGAAAGAAUUGUGUGAAGAUAAGAUUAUCCUAAUCAAAUCUUCAAGGUGGAGAUUAUUGGAACCCACCCAUUGUUUGAAAAGUCAAAAAGGGUGGGCACCGAAAGUAGAAAGUAAAAUUGGUUGGCAAGUUGGGUUAAAAGUUGGCAUGGGAUAAUUGCAAUUUUGGUCCCUAAUUGUAUAGGGACAUUGCAAGUUGAUCCUUGAACCUCAACUAUAAAUAGGCGUAACCAUUUCUUACUUUCUUCAUCCCACACUUGCCAUUCUCUACUUAAGGCAAUUGUUCUCUCUCCCUAUUUGUAAACUUUCACUUGUAUUUUUGGAGUGAAAUAUAUUUGGUAGUGCUCGAGGACGUAGGCAAAAUUUGCUGAACCUCGUUAAAAUUCUAGUGUUCUUUAUUGUUUAUUCUGCAUAUUUUGCAAGUGUCAUUGUAGUGAUUUAUUGUGCUAUUAAAUUACGAUAGAGGGAUAUUCUGGCUAGAAAAGAUCUGGUAUGUAAGCGAUCCUCGUGAUCCACCUCUCUUUCCUGGGAAUUGAACUUAGUGUGAUUUUUCAGUACAAUAAUUUUACUCUUUCACACGCUUCCGCGCAACAUUUACUCUCUCUCAAAUUGGACUGUGUUGGAAUGUCAAAGAUGACCUCGACGACCUCAAAAGCACCGUCUCUACAAUCAAAGCUGUGCUUCUUGACGCAGAAGAGCGAUCCGUGACCAGCCAUCUCGUCAAAGAUUGGCUUGAAAAGCUGAAAGAUGUACUUUACGAUGCUGACGAC
rnacentral:lncRNA from 1 species